rnacentral:rRNA from 1 species
ACACAUGCAAGUCGAGGGGAAACGACAUCGAAAGCUUGCUUUUGAUGGGCGUCGACCGGCGCACGGGUGAGUAACGCGUAUCCAACCUGCCCACCACUUGGGGAUAACCUUGCGAAAGUAAGACUAAUACCCAAUGACGUCUCUAGAAGACAUCUGAAAGGGAUUAAAGAUUUAUCGGUGAUGGAUGGGGAUGCGUCUGAUUAGCUUGUUGGUGGGGUAACGGCCCACCAAGGCGACGAUCAGUAGGGGUUCUGAGAGGAAGGUCCCCCACAUUGGAACUGAGACACGGUCCAAACUCCUACGGGAGGCAGCAGUGAGGAAUAUUGGUCAAUGGACGAGAGUCUGAACCAGCCAAGUAGCGUGCAGGAAGACGGCCCUAUGGGUUGUAAACUGCUUUUAUAAGGGAAUAAAGUGAGUCUCGUGAGACUUUUUGCAUGUACCUUAUGAAUAAGGACCGGCUAAUUCCGUGCCAGCAGCCGCGGUAAUACGGAAGGUCCGGGCGUUAUCCGGAUUUAUUGGGUUUAAAGGGAGCGUAGGCCGGAGAUUAAGCGUGUUGUGAAAUGUAGACGCUCAACGUCUGCACUGCAGCGCGAACUGGUUUCCUUGAGUACGCACAAAGUGGGCGGAAUUCGUGGUGUAGCGGUGAAAUGCUUAGAUAUCACGAAGAACUCCGAUUGCGAAGGCAGCUCACUGGAGCGCAACUGACGCUGAAGCUCGAAAGUGCGGGUAUCGAACAGGAUUAGAUACCCUGGUAGUCCGCACGGUAAACGAUGGAUGCCCGCUGUUGGUCUGAAUAGGUCAGCGGCCAAGCGAAAGCAUUAAGCAUCCCACCUGGGGAGUACGCCGGCAACGGUGAAACUCAAAGGAAUUGACGG